AUUGAACGCUGGCGGAAUGCUUUACACAUGCAAGUCGAGCGGCAGCGCGGGGCAACCUGGCGGCGAGCGGCGAACGGGUGAGUAAUACAUCGGAACGUACCCUGUCGUGGGGGAUGACGAGUAGAAAGAUUCGCUAAUACCGUAUACGACCUGAGGGUGAAAGCGGGGGAUCGCAAGAGCACGCGCGAUAGGAGAGGCGGGGGGCGGAUUAGCUAGUUGGUGAGGUGAAGGCUCACCUAGGCGACGAGCCCUAGCUGGUCUGAGAGGAUGACCAGCAACACUGCAACUGAGACACGGUCCAGACUCCUACGGGAGGCAGCAGUGGGGAAUAUUGCACAAUGGGCGCAAGCCUGAUGCAGCCAUGCCGCGUGUAUGAAGAAGGCCUUCGGGUUGUAAAGUACUUUCAGCGGGGAGGAAGGCGGUGAGGUUAAUACCCUCAUCGAUUGACGUUACCCGCAGAAGAAGCACCGGCUAACUCCGUGCCAGCAGCCGCCGUAA
rnacentral:rRNA from 1 species